GUGAAUACAAUUUUAUGAAUGCUUUAUUCACUUCAUUACAAAAAUAAGUGUUACUCCCUCUAUUUAUAGAUUUAGGUUAACUUGGACCUCAAGCCAAAGCCCAAAACUAUAAAAGUCCAAAAUAGUUAACACUACUAAAAUAGGCCUAAGUCAAAAUCAUGUGUGAAGCAACAUGCUUCGACACUUCAACACACUAACACAACUCAACACACUAGGUGGUUCGACACUUACUUGUUUCUGUCGAGCAACCUACUUCGACACAAGGAAUUACAAUUCAACACACAUCACAGUCACCAUCUCCACCGUGUUAGAGGCUUCCUCAGCGGCGGAGAUUUUCCAUAAAUAAAAAAUUCGGAUAUCAAACUCUUCCUCUCAAUUCCCUCUAAUCGAAUCCCUCAUCAUUUUCUACCAAUCUCUAAACGAUAAACCGAACCGAGUCGUUUACCUCAAGAACCCUAAAUCUUAAAUCCAUAAUUAAAUCCUCCAAUGGAGGAAUCAAAAUCCCUAGGUUAAGGCUUUGAUUCCUCACAUGCUAAUCUAUAUGAUGGUAAUUGAUUCGAAGCAAAAUAAGGAGAAAAAGUGACCCACCUGCCGGAGAAGAUGAAGAUAACGAUAUUGAUGAAGAUUGAAGAUUGAGCUUUGAAUAAAGUGAAGGAAAACGCAUGAACUAUACUCAGGAGACACACAUAACCUAUGAUGGAAAUUAAGGCUUUGCCAAGUAACUUAUGCUUGUAGAAAAUUAGCAAAGAAUUAUGGACUUUGAUGGAUCAUGGAAGAAUGAAACAAGAACUUAGGGUUUAUGAUGGUUUUGGUUGGUUAGUUGACCUUGGUUAACAUGUUAACCAAAAAGUCAACCAUUGAUCAAAAGUCAACUUCGGUAGAAAAGUCACAUUUAGUAAUUUCUUUUGAUGUAUGGACACUAUGUAAUGUAAUUGUAAUGAAUAAAGUGAUAUUUGUUUUAUGAAA